UAGGGAAUCUUCCGCAAUGGACGCAAGUCUGACGGAGCAACGCCGCGUGAGCGAUGAAGGUCUUCGGAUCGUAAAGCUCUGUUGUAAGGGAAGAACAAGUACCAGAGUAACUGCUGGUACCUUGACGGUACCUUACCAGAAAGCCACGGCUAACUACGUG
rnacentral:rRNA from 1 species